rnacentral:rRNA from 1 species
GUAGGGGGCAAGCGUUAUCCGGAUUUACUGGGUGUAAAGGGAGCGUAGACGGCUGUGCAAGUCUGAAGUGAAAGGCAGGGGCUCAACCUGUGGACUGCUUUGGAAACUGUGCAGCUAGAGUGUCGGAGAGGUAAGUGGAAUUCCUAGUGUAGCGGUGAAAUGCGUAGAUAUUAGGAGGAACACCAGUGGCGAAGGCGGCUUACUGGACGAUGACUGACGUUGAGGCUCGAAAGCGUGGGGAGCAAACAGGAUUAGAUACCCUGGUAGUCCACGCCGUAAACGAUGACUGCUAGGUGUCGGGUAGCAAAGCUAUUCGGUGCCGCAGUUAACGCAAUAAGCAGUCCACCUGGGGAGUACGUUCGCAAGAAUGAAACUCAA